CCUGAGCUCCUCAUAUCCCCAAAGUGCCACCUCCCAGUGCCACCCUGCCCCCAAAGUGUCCCUGAAGUGCCACCACCCCCCAAAAGUGUCCCCAAAAUGCCACCACCCCCCUGAGCUCAUCAUGUCCCCAAAGUGCCACCUCCCAGUGUCACCCUGUCCCCAAAGUGUCCCCGAGGUGCCACCCCCCCCCCCAAAAUUGUCCCCGGAGCGUCCCCAGCUCAAUAAAGUGGCAGCGCCGGCA